GUGGGGAAUUUUGGACAAUGGGCGAAAGCCUGAUCCAGCAACGCCGCGUGAGUGAUGAAGGCCUUCGGGUUGUAAAGCUCUGUCGGAGGGAACGAAUAGGGAUGACCUAACACGUCAUCCUUUGACGGUACUCUCAAAGGAAGCACCGGCUAACUCUGUGCCAGCAGCCGCGGUAAGACAGAGGGUGCAAGCGUUGUUCGGAAUUACUGGGCGUAAAGGGAGUGUAGGUGGUGGAGUGUGUCCGGCGUGAAAGACCUCGGCUUAACCGGGGAAGUGCACUGGAUCCUACUUCACUAGAGUGUGAGAGGGGAUGGCGGAAUUGUCAGUGUAGAGGUGAAAUUCGUAGAUACUGGCAGGAACACCGGAGGCGAAGGCGGCCAUCUGGAUCACAACUGACGCUGAUACUCGAAAGCGUGGGUAGCAAACAGGAUUAGAAACCCUGGUAGUCC
rnacentral:rRNA from 1 species